rnacentral:rRNA from 1 species
GAGCCUGAACCAGCCAAGUAGCGUGAAGGAUGACUGCCCUAUGGGUUGUAAACUUCUUUUAUAUUAGAAUAAAGUGCAGUAUGUAUACUGUUUUGUAUGUAUAAUAUGAAUAAGGAUCGGCUAACUCCGUGCCAGCAGCCGCGGUAAUACGGAGGAUCCGAGCGUUAUCCGGAUUUAUUGGGUUUAAAGGGAGCGUAGGUGGACUGGUAAGUCAGUUGUGAAAGUUUGCGGCUCAACCGUAAAAUUGCAGUUGAUACUGUCAGUCUUGAGUACAGUAGAGGUGGGCGGAAUUCGUGGUGUAGCGGUGAAAUGCUUAGAUAUCACGAAGAACUCCGAUUGCGAAGGCAGCUCACUGGACUGCAACUGACACUGAUGCUCGAAAGUGUGGGUAUCAAACAGGAUUAGAUACCCUGGUAGUCCACACAGUAAACGAUGAAUACUCGCUGUUUGCGAUAUACAGUAAGCGGCCAAGCGAAAGCAUUAAGUAUUCCACCUGGGGAGUACGCCGGCAACGGUGAAACUCAAAGGAAUUGACGGGGGCCCGCACAAGCGGAGGAACAUGUGGUUUAAUUCGAUGAUACGCGAGGAACCUUACCCGGGCUUAAAUUGCAGUGGAAUGAUGUGGAAACAUGUCAGUGAGCAAUCACCGCUGUGAAGGUGCUGCAUGGUUGUCGUCAGCUCGUGCCGUGAGGUGUCGGCUUAAGUGCCAUAACGAGCGCAACCCUUAUCUUCAGUUACUAACAGGUCAUGCUGAGGACUCUGGAGAGACUGCCGUCGUAAGAUGUGAGGAAGGUGGGGAUGACGUCAAAUCAGCACGGCCCUUACGUCCGGGGCUACACACGUGUUACAAUGGGGGGUACAGAAGGCAGCUACCUGGUGACAGGAUGCUAAUCCCAAAAGCCUCUCUCAGUUCGGAUCGAAGUCUGCAACCCGACUUCGUGAAGCUGGAUUCGCUAGUAAUCGCGCAUCAGCCACGGCGCGGUGAAUACGUUCCCGGGCCUUGUACACACCGCCCGUCAAGCCAUGGGAGCCGGGGGUACCUGAAGUACGUAACCGCAAGGAGCGUCCUAGGGUAAAACUGGUGACUGGGGCUAAGUCGUAACAAGGUAGCCGUACCGGAAGGUGCGGCUGGAACACCUCCUUU